AUUGAACGCUGGCGGCGUGCUUAACACAUGCAAGUCGAACGAUGAAGCCGGAGCUUGCUCUGGUGAAUUAGUGGCGAACGGGUGAGUAACACGUGAGUAACCUGCCCUUGACUCUGGGAUAACUGCGGGAAACUGUAGCUAAUACCGGAUACGACCCUCGGAGGCAUCUCCUGGGGGUGGAAAGAAUUUCGGUCAAGGAUGGACUCGCGGCCUAUCAGCUAGUUGGUGAGGUAAAGGCUCACCAAGGCGACGACGGGUAGCCGGCCUGAGAGGGUGACCGGCCACACUGGGACUGAGACACGGCCCAGACUCCUACGGGAGGCAGCAGUGGGGAAUAUUGCACAAUGGGCGCAAGCCUGAUGCAGCAACGCCGCGUGAGGGAUGACGGCCUUCGGGUUGUAAACCUCUUUUAGCAGGGAAGAAGCGAAAGUGACGGUACCUGCAGAAAAAGCACCGGCUAACUACGUGCCAGCCGCCGCGGUAA
rnacentral:rRNA from 1 species